rnacentral:rRNA from 1 species
CUAUACAUGCAAGUCGAGCGAACAGAUAAGGAGCUUGCUCCUUUGACGUUAGCGGCGGACGGGUGAGUAACACGUGGGUAACCUACCUAUAAGACUGGGAUAACUUCGGGAAACCGGAGCUAAUACCGGAUAACAUUUGGAACCGCAUGGUUCUAAAGUGAAAGAUGGUUUUGCUAUCACUUAUAGAUGGACCCGCGCCGUAUUAGCUAGUUGGUAAGGUAACGGCUUACCAAGGCGACGAUACGUAGCCGACCUGAGAGGGUGAUCGGCCACACUGGAACUGAGACACGGUCCAGACUCCUACGGGAGGCAGCAGUAGGGAAUCUUCCGCAAUGGGCGAAAGCCUGACGGAGCAACGCCGCGUGAGUGAUGAAGGGUUUCGGCUCGUAAAACUCUGUUAUUAGGGAAGAACAAAUGUGUAAGUAACUGUGCACGUCUUGACGGUACCUAAUCAGAAAGCCACGGCUAACUACGUGCCAGCAGCCGCGGUAAUACGUAGGUGGCAAGCGUUAUCCGGAAUUAUUGGGCGUAAAGCGCGCGUAGGCGGUUUCUUAAGUCUGAUGUGAAAGCCCACGGCUCAACCGUGGAGGGUCAUUGGAAACUGGGAAACUUGAGUGCAGAAGAGGAAAGUGGAAUUCCAUGUGUAGCGGUGAAAUGCGCAGAGAUAUGGAGGAACACCAGUGGCGAAGGCGACUUUCUGGUCUGUAACUGACGCUGAUGUGCGAAAGCGUGGGGAUCAAACAGGAUUAGAUACCCUGGUAGUCCACGCCGUAAACGAUGAGUGCUAAGUGUUAG